rnacentral:rRNA from 1 species
GGUGAACGCUGGCGGUAGGCCUAACACAUGCAAGUCGAACGGCAGCACAGUAAGAGCUUGCUCUUACGGGUGGCGAGUGGCGGACGGGUGAGGAAUACAUCGGAAUCUACUUUUUCGUGGGGGAUAACGUAGGGAAACUUACGCUAAUACCGCAUACGACCUACGGGUGAAAGCAGGGGAUCUUCGGACCUUGCGCGAUUGGAUGAGCCGAUGUCGGAUUAGCUAGUUGGCGGGGUAAAGGCCCACCAAGGCGACGAUCCGUAGCUGGUCUGAGAGGAUGAUCAGCCACACUGGAACUGAGACACGGUCCAGACUCCUACGGGAGGCAGCAGUGGGGAAUAUUGGACAAUGGGCGCAAGCCUGAUCCAGCCAUACCGCGUGGGUGAAGAAGGCCUUCGGGUUGUAAAGCCCUUUUGUUGGGAAAGAAAAGCAGCAGGUUAAUACCCCGCUGUUCUGACGGUACCCAAAGAAUAAGCACCGGCUAACUUCGU